rnacentral:misc_RNA from 1 species
GGGAUUGGCCGCCGAGAGGGUGGGAGGUUGAUAAGAAGGAAUUGGAGUUCAUUAGGGAAGCUCAUAAGAUGCAGGCUGUGAGAGUGGAUUAUGAUAAAGUGGAGGAGAUGGUGAAUACAGAGACUGAUGAUAUGAGCUUGGAACGGUAUAAAGUGUUCUUGAAGCAGUAUAAUGAGUGGGUUGCUGCUAACAAGGAUAGAUUAGAAGAAGAAUCUUAUAAGUAUGACCAGGACUAUUAUCCUGGAAGGAGAAAACGGGGAAAGGAUUACCAAGAUGGAAUGUAUGAACUCCCAUUUUACUACCCAGGACAAAUUUGUGCUGGUAAAGUGACAGCUAUACACCUUUAUCAAGGAGCAUUUGUUGAUAUUGGAGGUGUUCAUGAUGGGUGGGUGCCAAUAAAGCGAAAUGAUUGGUAUUGG